UAAGCGGAGGAAAAGAAACUAACCAGGAUUCCCCUAGUAACGGCGAGUGAAGCGGGAAUAGCUCAAAUUUUAAAUCUGGCCGGCGUGGUCGGUCCGAGUUGUAAUUUGAAGAAGCGAUUAUCACGUUUUCGUUCGGGUUCAAGUUCCUUGGAAUAGGACAUCAGAGAGGGUGAGAAUCCCGUCUGUGAUCCGAUCGGUUUCGGUACGAUAACGUUUCUAAGAGUCGAGUUGUUUGGGAUUGCAGCUCAAAAUGGGUGGUAAAUUCCAUCUAAGGCUAAAUAUCAGCGAGAGACCGAUAGCGAACAAGUACUGUGAAGGAAAGAUGAAAAGAACUUUGAAAAGAGAGUUAAAUAGUACGUGAAAUUGUUGAAAGGGAAACGAUUGAAGUCAGUCAUGCCAGUGAGAAAUCAGCUUACAGGCUACUGUGAGUGCACUUUUUCGCAAGGCAUGGUUAACAUCGGUUUCGUUGCGUCAUAAUGAUUGUAGGAAGGUGGCUCCUUCGGGAGUGUUAUAGCCUACUUUAGAUGGCGCGACGAGGACCGAGGAUUGCAGCGAAUGCCUUUGGCUACGGAUCUUUCUCUGUUGAUCUUUAGUUGAUCGUCAGCUUUGCUGACGAGCGGUUGAUAGGUUUGCAAUAGGAUGGAAUCCGAUAAAUUCGCUAAGGAUGUUUGACGUAAUGGCUUUAAACGACCCGUCUUGAAACACGGACCAAGGAGUCUAACAUGUAUGCGAGUGUU
rnacentral:rRNA from 1 species